rnacentral:rRNA from 1 species
CCGGGUUGCGGACAGUGUCUGGUGGGUAGUUUGACUGGGGCGGUCUCCUCCUAAAGAGUAACGGAGGAGCACGAAGGUUGGCUAAUCCUGGUCGGACAUCAGGAGGUUAGUGCAAUGGCAUAAGCCAGCUUGACUGCGAGCGUGACGGCGCGAGCAGGUGCGAAAGCAGGUCAUAGUGAUCCGGUGGUUCUGAAUGGAAGGGCCAUCGCUCAACGGAUAAAAGGUACUCCGGGGAUAACAGGCUGAUACCGCCCAAGAGUUCAUAUCGACGGCGGUGUUUGGCACCUCGAUGUCGGCUCAUCACAUCCUGGGGCUGAAGUAGGUCCCAAGGGUAUGGCUGUUCGCCAUUUAAAGUGGUACGCGAGCUGGGUUUAGAACGUCGUGAGACAGUUCGGUCCCUA